CAGUGAGGGACAGGAGAGAAGUCAGCAGACCCACACAGCAGGUUGGUGAUGGGGUUUAUUUCCAGCAAACUGGCCACCAUCAGAGCCAGGCAGAUGGAAAAGAACACGUCUACAGAGAGACAACGUGACCGGCAGCAGGUCAUUCAUGAUCAGCGGGAAGACGGUGUGGCCGAGGAUGAGGGUCAUCUUGAAGGUGGACCUGUCCACGCUCUGUGGAAGCAGCAGGAAGCUGAAGAGGUAGACUGUGAUGAGAAAGCAGCUGGGCAGCAGGAUGUUUACCAUAUACAUAGUGGCCCGGCACCUCAAUCUAAUCUGUGGAAAGAAAAGAAGAGAUAACUGAGGUCUUCCAAGAAAAAUCUUUAUGUGCCUCGCUGCGCAGGGAAGAAAGGUGAAGAGAAAAAUGCUCUCUUAAGUCAGAGUUCACUUAAAGCCCACAUUCAAUUUAGAGAUAAUUAAAAAGGGUAUAUAAUAAUAAUCAAGUGUUAAAUGUUCUUACCAAAGUGCAAGCAGGGGUUGAAGGUAUAAGUGCAGUUUUGUAUGUCAAAGGGGAAGGUGUAGACAUCAAGGUUACAGGAGCUGACAGCUCUGACA